rnacentral:rRNA from 1 species
UUGGAGGGCAAGUCUGGUGCCAGCAGCCGCGGUAAUUCCAGCUCCAAUAGCGUAUAUUAAAGUUGUUGCAGUUAAAAAGCUCGUAGUUGAGUUUCGGGAUUGACGUGAUGGUCAUGCCUUAAGGGGUAUGAACUGUUACAGCUGAUUUCUCACCUUCUGGAGAAACUUGAUGUCCUUUAUUGGGUGUCUUGCGGAUCCAGGACCUUUACCUUGAAAAAAUUAGAGCGUUUAAAGCAGGCAUUUUUGCUCGAAUACAUUAGCAUGGAAUAAUAGAAUAGGACGGCAUGGUUCUAUUUUGUUGGUUUCUAGGAUCACCGUAAUGAUUAAUAGGGAUAGUUGGGGGCAUUAGUAUUCAAUUGUCAGAGGUGAAAUUCUUGGAUUUAUUGAAGACUAACUACUGCGAAAGCAUUUGCCAAGGAUGUUUUCAUUAAUCAAGAACGAAAGUUAGGGGAUCGAAGACGAUCAGAUACCGUCGUAGUCUUAACCAUAAACUAUGCCGACUAGGAAUCAGACGAUGUUAAUUUUUUAAUGACUCGUUUGGCACCUUACGGGAAACCAAAGUGUUUGGGUUC